CGCUGAUACCGAUGUUACGUUCAUCAUCCGGGCACAUGGGUACAAGUUAACACAUUUUCCCCGAGUAUAAAUCAAUGAAGCGGUAGAAGAUUGAAAGUCGAAUAUGAAUAGUUCAUCGCUGGUAUCGGAAAAACCUCCUUCAUCGCUAAGUAGUUCAGAAAGGCGAGAAUGGUAUCGCGAAAAGAAAAGGGUUAUUAAUAGGUCAAGAGUUCAGAAACAUAGAAACAAAUCAAAUGAAAGAAAACGUGAACCCGAUAGGUUUCUCGCAAAGGAACGUAUGAAACGCUACAGACAGAGAAAGAGAGAAAUAAAUGCAGACACAAACAUUUCUAGCGAAUCUUUAACAAAUCAAACUCCAUUUCAAAAUCGGAUGCAGAAAUGAAGGGCUUUAAAAACCCUUAAAGAUACAAACCCAUUUCUCAGCACAGAGGCGUGCAUCAAUCUUGCAAUCACUAAUUGAUUCAUCAAGUCCGGUUUCUAAAACAACAAGAUGUCUGGAAUUCAAACAAGUUGUACAACCAAGCGAAAACAAAACAAGAAAUAAAGUGGCAUGCGCUCUUUUAGCAGAUGUAUCGUCGUCAAUUUCGUCGGCAAUCGAUAAAACAUCGCCCACCGAGAAAAGGGUCAGCGCUAAACAGGCGGCGAGUUUCAUCGUAGGAAAUACAAUUGAAAGUGAAAAGUUAAAAUCUGCCCUCUCUAAAUACACUAAAUUGGAUAGGAGGACAAUAAAUAAGUGCCAUAACAUAAACAAACAAAUUGUACAUAAACAUGACAUGAAUACAAAAUGGAUAACACGAAAACCAAGAAAGGAUAAACUCUCCGAAGAACUUAAAGAGAAGGCAAGACAGUUUUGGAUUGAAAACAGCCAGCCAGUUAACGAUAAGAAGAAAGUUGUUAGGCAGAGAAUUUCGAAAAAUAAAUAUGCAAAAAAUGUCAAACAUGUUCUUACUACGACUCAAUUCAAUGUUUAUAAGCAGUUCAUGAAAAAGAACCCGGAUGUCAAAAUAGGCCAGAGGAGUUUCGAGUCAUGUAAGCCGUAUUUUAUUAAAUCAACCACGAAAAAAGAUCGCAUUACAUGUUUUUGUCGUAAACAUGUAGAAGUGAACAGUUUGUUUAAAAGCGCACAAUUCAUUCGAAAAAGAAUUAUAGAAGAAUACAAUUUAGCAGUUAGCAGAAGAAUACACCGUUUGGAAUACACUGGAUGAUUUAUUACAAGAGACAUUGUGUCCUACUAUCGGUGUAGGAGACCACGAGGAACAGUUGCACACAAUUGAGUGUUUAAAUAGAAAUUGUAUUACAUGUGGAGUGCAUUUACUGAAAUUAUAUGCUGCAGAAUUGAGCGACACUGACACUUUAACAUGGCAAAAAUAUGAAAGCAUAGGUGCAGGUAGAAAUGACAGACAGGGUAGAGAAAUUAAGAAACUAAGAAUGAUGUCCGUCAAUACCACUCGCUUUGAAUUCUGGUCAUAUUUCAAGGAUAUAUUACAAGAGUUUCCUAUACAUCAAUUCCAAGCUACCUGGCAAAAAGAACAAUUAAAAAACAUCACGUCACACUUACCAAAUAAUCAUAUUGUGAUGAUACACGACUAUGCCGAGGACUUCACAUGUGAAAUGCAGGAUGAAAUCCAGUCCGAGUAUUUCGGAAGAAAUGAAAUUGCUAUACAUGUAACUAUUUUAUACAGGCAUAAAACCAGUCAUGAUCGUUUGAACGAUAACAAUGUAAUAAAAA